GCGGGCAUGGCGAAACUGGUAGACGCAUAGCAUUCAGGAUGCUAUGGCUGAAAGGCCAUGGAGGUUCGAGUCCUCUUGCCCGCA
rnacentral:tRNA from 1 species